ACGCGAAGAACCUUACCAGGUCUUGACAUCCUCUGACACUCCUAGAGAUAGGACGUUCCCCUUCGGGGGACAGAGUGACAGGUGGUGCAUGGUUGUCGUCAGCUCGUGUCGUGAGAUGUUGGGUUAAGUCCCGCAACGAGCGCAACCCUUGAUCUUAGUUGCCAGCAUUAAGUUGGGCACUCUAAGGUGACUGCCGGUGACAAACCGGAGGAAGGUGGGGAUGACGUCAAAUCAUCAUGCCCCUUAUGACCUGGGCUACACACGUGCUACAAUGGAUGGUACAAAGGGCAGCAAAGCGGUGACGCCUAGCAAAUCCCAUAAAACCAUUCUCAGUUCGGAUUGUAGGCUGCAACUCGCCUACAUGAAGCUGGAAUCGCUAGUAAUCGCGGAUCAGCAUGCCGCGGUGAAUACGUUCCCGGGCCUUGCACACACCGCCCGU
rnacentral:rRNA from 1 species